rnacentral:tRNA from 1 species
GGGAUUGUGGCUCUGCGUAGAGCGCUUACCUUGCACGUAUGAAGCGCUGGGUUCGAUCCUCAGCACCA